GACGAGCUCUCCAAACGUUAUUCGGUAUCACUGGGCUUAAAGAGUUCGUAGGCGGCUUGACAGGUGAGGUGUGAAAGCCCACGGCCUAACCGUGGAAUUGCGCUUCAAACCGUCGAGCUAGAGGGAUGCAGGGGUAUGCGGAACAGAUGGUGGAGCGGUGAAAUGCGUUGAUAUCAUCUGGAACACCGGUGGCGAAAGCGGCAUACUGGGCAUUUUCUGACGCUGAGGAACGAAAGCUAGGGUAGCGAAC
rnacentral:rRNA from 1 species